rnacentral:miRNA from 1 species
UCGGCCGAAACCUUGACUAACU